AAUAUUGCACAAUGGGGGAAACCCUGAUGCAGCGACGCCGCGUGAGCGAAGAAGGCCUUCGGGUCGUAAAGCUCUGUCCUAAGGGAAGAAACGGACGGUACCUUAGGAGGAAGCCCCGGCUAACUACGUGCCAGCAGCCGCGGUAAUACGUAGGGGGCGAGCGUUAUCCGGAAUUAUUGGGCGUAAAGGGUGCGUAGGCGGCCUUUUAAGUCAGAUGUGAAAGGCUACGGCUUAACCGUAGUUAGCAUUUGAAACUAAAAGGCCUGAGUGCAGGAGAGGAGAGUGGAAUUCCUAGUGUAGCGGUGAAAUGCGUAGAUAUUAGGAGGAACACCAGCGGCGAAGGCGGCGCUCUGGGCUGAGAUUGACGCUGAGGAGCGAAAGUGUGGGUAGCAAAC
rnacentral:rRNA from 1 species